UGGUUAUUGGUUAUUCCUGCUUCCAGUGUUCUAAGAGAGGUAGUAAAUAAAAUAACAAAAGUUUAGGAGAUUCUGAUACACAUGCAAAUUGGAUCCUCUAGCCAGAGCUCUGGUCACCUUUACCCUACUUCCACCUCUUUACAGGCUCCUAAACAUGCCCUACAUCUCAUAAAUAUAAGUUAAAUUAGUGAAUUCCCAGAUGAAUAUGUGUGCUAAGAGCCUCUGAAAUGACUCAGCACCCUGUGAAUCAUUCCUGUCAGAAACACCUAGCGAUUCAGUGAGAGGCACUUAAAGCAGAGGCAUCUGACCUUACAUACUGAAAGCCUGAGUUAACAGCCCCCUUUUUUUGCUGCAGUUGCUUCUUUUGACCCGUGUGCAGUGCUUUUCUGUCUCCUUGGCUCCUUUCUUGGUGAAUGUUAUACCUUUGUUGGCAAGACUGGCCUUGAGCACAACUUCCUGUGAUCUUCAAUAAAUGCAGCUGCUUACUACUUGCUACCUGAAACGAUUGAGGGCAUUCACCAGCCAGACAGUCACAGAGUUCAUCAUGGCAGGGUAUCAGCCAGUACGGCAAAAGGAAGAGGUCCCCACUUGCCACCUGCCUCAUCAGAUCCAGGUCUAGCCCUGAUCUUCGCCCCUGGUCAGCAGGAAGAAGCUCCAGAAGAAGAGACCUUCGCCCAACUAUCAUAAAACAAAAGCCUGGAAUGAUAGGUCUCCCACCACCUCAGCAGCUAUUAUGUAUAGUUGCUGCCCUCUUCCUAUGGUGCCUUGCCCCUUCCCCUGUGUGACGUCAUGCCAAGAUGGUUGCUCCCACCAAAGAACAAACCCUUCUUCCCAGCAUGCCCCUGUUCCCACCUAGAGAGUAACCUAAUACUCACUCACCUCCUACCACCUAGUGACAUCACCGGC
rnacentral:lncRNA from 1 species